GCUCAGGAUGAACGCUAGCUACAGGCUUAACACAUGCAAGUCGAGGGGUAGCAGGGUAGCAAUACCGCUGACGACCGGCGCACGGGUGAGUAACACGUAUCCAACCUUCCCAUAACUCGGGGAUAGCCUUUCGAAAGAAAGAUUAAUACCCGAUAGUACUUUUUUAGGGCAUCUUAGAAAAGUUAAAGAUUUAUUGGUUAUGGAUGGGGAUGCGUUCCAUUAGAUAGUUGGUGAGGUAACGGCUCACCAAGUCUUCGAUGGAUAGGGGUUCUGAGAGGAAGGUCCCCCACAUUGGUACUGAGACACGGACCAAACUCCUACGGGAGGCAGCAGUGAGGAAUAUUGGUCAAUGGGCGAGAGCCUGAACCAGCCAAGUAGCGUGAA
rnacentral:rRNA from 1 species